UUUGCAGCCGCCGCGGUAAUACAGAGGGUGCAAGCGUUAAUCCGAUUUACUGGGAGUAAAGCGCGAGAAGGUGGCCAAUUAAGUCAAAUGUGAAAUCCCCGAGCUUAACUUGGGAAUUGCAUUCGAUACUGGUUGGCUAGAGUAUGGGAGAGGAUGGUAGAAUUCCAGGUGUAGCGGUGAAAUGCGUAGAGAUCUGGAGGAAUACCGAUGGCGAAGGCAGCCAUCUGGCCUAAUACUGACACUGAGGUGCGAAAGCAUGGGGAGCAAACAGGAUUAGAAACCCUAGUAGUCC
rnacentral:rRNA from 1 species